rnacentral:rRNA from 1 species
AACGAACGCUGGCGGCAUGCCUAACACAUGCAAGUCGAACGAGACCUUCGGGUCUAGUGGCGCACGGGUGCGUAACGCGUGGGAAUCUGCCCUUGGGUUCGGAAUAACAGUUAGAAAUGACUGCUAAUACCGGAUGAUGUCUUCGGACCAAAGAUUUAUCGCCCAGGGAUGAGCCCGCGUAGGAUUAGCUAGUUGGUGGGGUAAAGGCCUACCAAGGCGACGAUCCUUAGCUGGUCUGAGAGGAUGAUCAACCACACUGGGACUGAGACACGGCCCAGACUCCUACGGGAGGCAGCAGUGGGGAAUAUUGGACAAUGGGCGAAAGCCUGAUCCAGCAAUGCCGCGUGAGUGAUGGAGGCCUUAGGGUUGUAAAGCUCUUUUACCCGGGAUGAUAAUGACAGUACCGGGAGAAUAAAGCCCCCGGCUAACUCCGUGCCAGCAGCCGC